rnacentral:rRNA from 1 species
UCGAAACCUAAUCCGAAAGGAACGACCGUGACUUGUGUUAUUAAGCGAUGUGUAAGACCUUAACCAAGUCCUUAUGCACGCCGCUUCCACGGGGGUUGCGCUCGGUUGAUAAAGAUGGUUCGUGUCCUCGUCGAAUUAACCAAACCCCGGCGCGAGUAGCGUCAAGGAACAUAUGUAAACAUAACUUGUCCGGAUGCCGCCCUGGUGGUGUGUCGUCUGAGCAUGUUAAACGUGAUCGUAAUAUAAAACGACUCUCGGCAACGGAUAUCUCGGGCUCUCGCAUCGAUGAAGAACGUAGCGAAAUGCGAUACUUGGUGUGAAUUGCAGAAUCCCGUGAACCAUCGAGUCUUUGAACGCAAGUUGCGCCCCAAGCCGUCAGGCCGAGGGCACGCCUGCCUGGGUGUCACGCAUCGUCGCCCCCAUCCCCUCAGCUUAUUAGCUGGGGUGGCCAUUGGGAACGGAGAUUGGCAUCCCGUGCGAGUUCUCACGCGGUUUGCCGAAAACUGAGCCACGGAUGUGAAGCAUCCAAACAAGCGGUGGUGUGUAAUACAUCUUGCGAGUGUUGAUUGCUUCCAUACGAAUGUGCACAACGACCCUUAAAGAGUCAUCUGUGAUGACUCUUCGAAAGCGACCCCAGGUCAGGCGGGNC